UUAUUUGUUUUUAUUUUCAUUAUUGUUUUGCCCUGUAUCGUCUGUGGGCUCCCACCAAAUAAUAUCCGUAUAUCUUUAAAAGCCUUUCUGACAUCCCAACAAUGCUCUGGGCUUUAACACACCUUUAUCUUUGCUCUGUCUUGCAGCACUACGCCAGUCGAGCGGGACACCAGUCAGUAUGUGAGCUGCUCCUGGACCAGGGGGCCCGUGCUAAUUCUCAAACUGCAUAAGGCUGCUGAGCAGGGUCACGUGGACGUGUGCGAGUUGUUGGUGAUGAACUGUCCUGCCUUGAGAAGCAUGAAGGAUAAAAGAUCACGCUUACCUUCAGACCUUUGCCUGAAGAACAGUGCCUUACUGGAGUUACUAAACCCUCAAUGACCUGCUGUGCUGCUUUGAUGCCCAAAUGAACUUCAGAUCCUCUACAAGUCAGUUUUGUACAAGCAGUGGGACCCUGCGUGAGGUUCUUCUUGGACUGCAGGAUGGAAACCAUCGCAGGAACCCCACUUAGGCUUGUGUCCAAGCAUGGAAAUAAAUGUUUUUGUUUAA